rnacentral:lncRNA from 1 species
GCAACCUAAACGUACCCUGCACCACUGUCGUGUCUGGCAUAGAUGGUAUCGGCGACACUCCUUCUGGAAGGUUGUAGGAUCUGCCAACGGCGGUUCCACCCACUUUCAAAAGAGUCAGGCAGAGCCAAGUUCCAUUUAUGGUAAUUUGCGUGGAAGAAAAGCGGCAGCCCUGGGAACGUGGCAACGGGUGGAGCACCAAGGAAGAGAUUUAAUACUGAGUUUCAAAAAAUGUGACCCUACAGACCAACUUCAUCGUACAGAACCAAAAGGCCACAAUUCCAGCAGUAUGUCGAUGAACACGCAUGAAGCCUUAUUAAAGCGUCUGAUGAAGCAGUUGUGCUGAGUACCAGCUGAAAAAAAUCACAUUUCUCUCCGUAGGUGCAGCAGUGAGUACUAACCAUCUGGCCCAUGCUGCACCAUUGUAUUGCCCAGGUACUGUUCGCGACACCUUGCAGCCCGGCCUGGCGGGGAGCACAAGGGUGCUACUAUCCCUGCGCUUCCUGGCUUAAAUGGGGACACCCACAUGGGCUCCCCAGCAGCCAGCAUGCCAUACGCAAACGUCUCCUUGUCACCCUGCAUGAAGCCAGGGGGCACAGCAGUGCAACACAAGAUUCAGUCAUACUUCAUACAGCCAUAUGCGUAUAUUGGACUGCUAGAUCACAUGGCCUGACGAAAGCCAUUCCUACUUGACGACUACGACACAUGGCUUGGAUUAUCAUCCAUUAGGGUCUGCGUGUUGACAUAUAUUUGUGGAUUAGAGCGCACCGCAGCGCUGGAAUUUGUUUAGAGCUGUGAGCUAAGGAGACGGGUCUUAAGCUGAAAAAGUAUUACCUGGCACACAGCAAAGUGUUGUGCCGCAUGUGCACUCGGCUGUACUCUCUAAAUGACAUGCAAUGCGGCGCCAGCGAAGUCAAGGCAUGGCUAAGGUAUGGGUGUAAGAAGGGUUUAGCUCUCUUGGCAUCUCCCUGAGUACUCUUUGCCUGGUGUUGCAGUGGGUGCCACAAAGCGAGAUUGGUGCUAUAUAUAUGAUCAUUGCACAUGUCAAAGAUAAGUGAUGAGGCUUCCCUGGAAAACAUCUACUGAGCUGCAUUUCAUUGCGUUUCAUUCCCUGGCUCAAAUCCACGCAUGCAUGCGCAAUCAUGUACUCCUUUAACUAUUCCUUGCAAGUGGGGCGGCAAUGGCAAUUCACCAUAUGCAUGAAACGACAGGUGUGGAUUUCCGGAUGGCAUUUCAAUGCAACACCACACCUUCCCGAUGUAGCAGGAUAGCAGCUCUGAAAAUGUAGAGCCAUAUACAUUCAUGUACGCCGCUACGAGCAGCCCACGCCAGUGCCUGCAGCAACGUUGUGGUGUUAAUGCAAUCGAGACUGUAACCUCAAACGAUUAGG